UUUAAGAUCAUUCACGCACGAGUUCCCAAAGCAAACAGGUGAUGCUUGAGCUGAGAAAAGCUUGACGUCCUGUGAUUGUAAAAUUUGACCAUAGAAGGCCAGGCAGAGAACCUAAGCAAGCCAGCCAAUGCAAAAUGGUUUACAGAUUAAGCUUUCAACACCGCCUUAUGGAUCAUCGUCUCCUUGUGUAUUUGGUGACAGCUCUUCUCAACAAGAUCGAGGAGUUUCUCGAGGUUCGCCGCCCAGGAAUUGAGUAUACCAUUACUGUCU
rnacentral:lncRNA from 1 species